GGGAGGAGGGUUUUUGGGUUUUUUAAUUUUUUUUUCUGGUGGAAAGAGGAUUGAGGUUGCCCGGGGCCGUUUUCAAGGGCCCGGCUGUUUCCGCCCCCGCGGUAAUUGUUAGGGGGAAGGGGGGGCCGGGAUUGGGGGUUGUGGGGGAAACGCGGGGGGGGGAUGGAGUCGGAAUUGAAAUUUCGGGUUUUAGCCUAGAACCUUCACCCAAUUUUGAUAUUUUUUGUCAAGUUGAGGUAGGGGCAAGUCGGAGUGUGGCGGUGAAAGUGGUAGAUAUUGAUAGGAACACCAACCGCGAGGCGGCGUAGUGGGCUUGACUUUCGCUGAGGCUGGGAUGGUAGGGAUCAGGACCAAUCUAGAUUCAGUGGCCGUCCUCUCCGUCACCGUAGAUUAUGAUGUGUGGGGGGUCUGAGCCCCUCCUUGCCGGAGGUGACGCAAUCAGCAAUCUACUUCAGGUGGGCGUCCGCACGCUUGAAUCUCAAAGGAAUUGACGGGGGCCCGCCCAACGACAGUCGAUUGUGUGAUGUGAUUUAAAUCAAAGCGAAGAGACCUUACCUGGUCUGGUCAUCCGACUAAGGGGAUAGUCAUAUGUCGGGUGCCUCUCGGGGAAAGUGGAGACAGGUGGUGCAUGGUUGUCGUCAGCUCGUGUCGUGAGAUGUUGGGUUAAGUCCCGCAACGAGCGCAACCCCUGCCAUUAGUUGCUACGCAAGAGCACUCUAAUGGGACCGCUACCGACAAGGUGGAGGAAGGUGGGGACGACGUCAAAUCAUCAUGCCCCUUAUGACCUGGGCUACACACGUAAUACAAUGGCCGUUAACAACGAGGAGCAAACCCGCGAGGGGGAGCAAAUCUCGAAAAACGGUCUCAGUUCGGAUUGCAGGCUGCAACUCGCCUGCAUGAAGUUGGAAUUGCUAGUAAUCGCGGAUCAGCAUGCCGCGGUGAAUACGUUCCCGGGCCUUGCACUCACCGCCCGUCA
rnacentral:rRNA from 1 species